UCUCUCUCUAUAGAGUUCCCUCGUCUGUCUCUCUCUCUCUCGUCUCCCUCUCUCGUUUCAGACGAUUUCGUCUCGCUAAAGCCUUGUCUCUUAACCUAAGGAUUUCUCUCUUCGUGUUCACCGGCAUGAUUUUCGUGUGUUUGUUCGAUUUCUCUGAUCACCGGCGUGAUUUCUUCGUCUUCAAGAUCCACCCUACUGGGAAAAUUUUUGUCGCUCAAGUCUUUUAUCUUCACCGAACGAUUCUCAUCCGUUUUCUUGUAUGAUUUGUCUGCCCACCGGUGUAAAGGAACGAUUCUCCUUCGUGUUCAAGUAUUAUGAAGAAGAAGCAUGUUAUAAGGAGACGAGCAUCGUCUGCUGAAGCUAUUGAGCCAGAAAGGUCAUACUCCCUCCGUCCCAGCUUAAAUGUCUUGUUUCUUUUCGGCACGGAGAUUAAGAAAUGUGUAUAAAGUAGAUAAAGUGGGUUGGUGGAAAUUAUUUAAAUAUUAAGUAUAGAGAGAGAGUGUUUGCCAAAAAAGGAAACAGGACAUUUCAAGUGGGACAACCCAAAAAGGAAAGCAGGACAUUUCAGCUGGGACAGAGGGAGUAUAAGAUUGUGAGAUGUGGUAACUGUGUGAAUACAUGUUUGGGAGAUGUUGUGCACAUAUGAUAGAGAUGUUUGGUGAUUUUUCCACUUUUUGAAUAUUCAAAUCAUAGGUAACCUUUUUGUCCAAAUAAAGUAAAAGUUUGUGCUAAUAAAUGUAUUACUUGUGAGUAAAA